UUACUUCGGUACAUCGGUGACAGGUGGUGCAUGGUUGUCGUCAGCUCGUGUCGUGAGAUGUUGGUUAAGUCCCGCAACGAGCGCAACCCCUAUUGUUAGUUGCCAUCAUUCAGUUGGGCACUCUAGCGAGACUGCCGGUAAUAAACCGGAGGAAGGUGGGGAUGACGUCAAGUCCUCAUGGCCCUCAUGGGUAGGGCUUCACACGUCAUACAAUGGUCGGUACAGAGGGUUGCCAACCCGCGAGGGGGAGCUAAUCCCACAAAGCCGAUCGUAGUCCGGAUCGCAGUCUGCAACUCGACUGCGUGAAGUCGGAAUCGCUAGUAAUCGUGGAUCAGCAUGUCACGGUGAAUACGUUCCCGGGUCUU
rnacentral:rRNA from 1 species